rnacentral:rRNA from 1 species
UGUUCCCGGUUAAAGUCCGGUAAACGAGCGGCAACCCCUAUCACUAGUUGCCAGCAUUAAGGUGGGGCACUUCUAGAGAGACUGCCGGCGACAAGCCGGAGGAAGGCGGGGACGACGUCAAGUCAUCAUGGCCUUUAUGUCCUGGGCUACACACAUGCUACAAUGGCGAGCACAACGGGUUGCAAACCCGCGAGGGGGAGCUAAAUUCCCCAUCAAAGUUCGUCUCAGUUCGGAUUGCAGGCUGCAACUCGCCUGCAUGAAGCUGGAAUCGCUAGUAAUCGCGGAUCAGCUACGCCGCGGUGAAUACGUUCCCGGGCCUUGCACACACCGCCCGUCACACCACGAAAGUUGGUUCUACCCGAAGUGGCUGAGCUAACCCGCAAGGGAGGCAGGCUCCGAAGGUAGGGCUGAUGAUUGGGGUGAAGUCGUAACAAGGUAGCCGUAGCGGAAGCUGCGGCUGGAUCACGUACCUU